rnacentral:misc_RNA from 1 species
ACCAUUUUUAGUUUAGAUGUUUCUAUAUUUGCUCAUAUUUACUAACCCUAAACCGAAUUGAAUCCAAAUUUACUUUGCUUCGCCUGCACCAUGUCUUCACCGUUCAUUUUAAUGGCUUCCAUUUCUUUUCUACACUGAAUCGUUUAGAAGCUCUAGGGUUUUUGAGAAUUGAAAUUUUGGGAUUUUUUUUUUGCAACUCCACUCUCUAGCCUCUAAUCUCUCCUUCUCUUGCAGAAACCUAGUCGGUAACUACAAGUCUUCCAUUUCAGGUGGUGUUUUGAUGCAGCAUGUUUGUUUGUCGUUCCCAAGAAUUGCACUUGAUUUCUAUCAUGCA